GCAGUCUGUUCAACUGCAGGCUUCAGCACAUUAUUCUCUGCCUGCCUUCCUCGAAACCUAAUGGGAAGCUGCUGCUUGAAGUUAGACCUAACCCCAGUCCGAACGCUCAUGUCAAGCUACUCCCUUGUGAGUCCUUCCAAAGACUACUGAAUCAUACAUACCCAACCUCUGUGGCCUUACCUUCUCCUCCUUGUGUCAUUAAACCCACCUUCCUCAGUGAGUACUUAUAUCCCUCUGCCCACUUCACCACCGAGUACACGUCUCAAGUAGUUCCCUGGGUCUCCUUUGUCUCACCUGCUCUUUGAUGAUGUUCCAAGGCUUUCUUAGCUGAGGUGAUGACUGUGGUCUGAAGCCGGAGGAUGGACGAUAAGGACUCAGUAAGAGGGAAAAGAAAAGAAAGCAUGCCAAUUUCCACCUUUUUUUUAUGGCCUCCUAAAUCGUUUCCUGUUCUUGCAGGUAGCCUCCUUGGAUCCUACGGCGGUGCAGGAAGUCAUGCCUAUUUCCGCCGUCACCGACGUCGUAAGAAGUUGGAUUAAAGGUCAAGGGACGCUAGCGUUCCAUGGUCGUUUUAUCUUCGGAUGCAGGAGUUGGUCUUUGUCGGUGUUAUCUAAUAUUUCUUGUUAGUUCUGGAAUGGUGUUAUCCCAUCUGAGCUUUUCUCCCUUCCCGACUAUCCUUCUUCAAACCCCACACCACUGCCCGCAAGAUCAACUGUUCUUGACCUUGUAAGACCUUUUCUUGAUCUUGUAAGGCCCAAUUCUCCAUCUGUUUUCCUCGUCGUCUGCUUCAUCUUCAUCGUCUCCUCACUCCACGUGGAACGAGUCAAUGCAAACUCUCUUCCUCUCUUCUCGCUCCUCUUCUGCCCUCCCCUCCUCUCUAUCCCUCCUGAGCUAUUUCACUAGAUGUGCUUCGAGAUUAUCUAGCUCUUCUUACUUUUAAACUUGUUAAGAUCCACUUUGAGAGAGGAGCUUUAAUAGGUUAUCAUUUCUAAGGUAGAAUAUCUCCAACUGUUUCAAUAUUAUUAUGUUUUGCAGCCAUCCAUUUGUUUUGCUUCACAUGUUAGGCAGUAUAUUCUUCUUCCCGUCAUAAGUCGAGCUGGUACAGCAUGUACAAGGCUAUGGAUCUUUUCGAUGCUUUUUGUAUGCCAGUUUUCUGUGAUUUCCAAUGAAAUAUGCCUUUUGGUGUUAUCA